AGUGAACGCUGGCGGUAGGCCUAACACAUGCAAGUCGAACGGCAGCACAGUAAGAGCUUGCUCUUAUGGGUGGCGAGUGGCGGACGGGUGAGGAAUACAUCGGAAUCUACUUUUUCGUGGGGGAUAACGUAGGGAAACUUACGCUAAUACCGCAUACGACCUACGGGUGAAAGCAGGGGACCUUCGGGCCUUGCGCGAUUGAAUGAGCCGAUGUCGGAUUAGCUAGUUGGCGGGGUAAAGGCCCACCAAGGCGACGAUCCGUAGCUGGUCUGAGAGGAUGAUCAGCCACACUGGAACUGAGACACGGUCCAGACUCCUACGGGAGGCAGCAGUGGGGAAUAUUGGACAAUGGGCGCAAGCCUGAUCCAGCCAUACCGCGUGGGUGAAGAAGGCCCUCGGGUUGUAAAGCCCUUUUGUUGGGAAAGAAAUCCAGCCGGCUAAUACCUGGUUGGGAUGACGGUACCCAAAGAAUAAGCACCGGCUAACUUCGUGCCAGCAGCCGCGGUAAUACGAAGGGUGCAAGCGUUACUCGGAAUUACUGGGCGUAAAGCGUGCGUAGGUGGUUGUUUAAGUCUGUUGUGAAAGCCCUGGGCUCAACCUGGGAACUGCAGUGGAAACUGGACAACUAGAGUGUGGUAGAGGGUAGCGGAAUUCCCGGUGUAGCAGUGAAAUGCGUAGAGAUCGGGAGGAACAUCCAUGGCGAAGGCAGCUACCUGGACCAACACUGACACUGAGGCACGAAAGCGUGGGGAGCAAACAGGAUUAGAUACACAGGUAGUCCACGCCCUAAACGAUGCGAACUGGAUGUUGGGUGCAAUUUGGCACGCAGUAUCGAAGCUAACGCGUUAAGUUCGCCGCCUGGGGAGUACGGUCGCAAGACUGAAACUCAAAGGAAUUGAGGGGGGCCCGCACAAGCGGUGGAGUAUGUGGUUUAAUUCGAUGCAACGCGAAGAACCUUACCUGGCCUUGACAUGUCGAGAACUUUCCAGAGAUGGAUUGGUGCCUC
rnacentral:rRNA from 1 species